rnacentral:rRNA from 1 species
AGUGAACGCUGGCGGUAGGCCUAACACAUGCAAGUCGAACGGCAGCACAGGAGAGCUUGCUCUCUGGGUGGCGAGUGGCGGACGGGUGAGGAAUACAUCGGAAUCUACUCUGUCGCGGGGGAUAACGUAGGGAAACUUACGCUAAUACCGCAUACAACCUACGGGUGAAAGCAGGGGAUCUUCGGACCUUGCGCGAUUGAAUGAGCCGAUGUCGGAUUAGCUAGUUGGCGGGGUAAAGGCCCACCAAGGCGACGAUCCGUAGCUGGUCUGAGAGGAUGAUCCGCCACACUGGAACUGAGACACGGUCCAGACUCCUACGGGAGGCAGCAGUGGGGAAUAUUGGACAAUGGGCGCAAGCCUGAUCCAGCCAUACCGCGUGGGUGAAGAAGGCCUUCGGGUUGUAAAGCCCUUUUGUUGGGAAAGAAAUCCAGCUGGCUAAUACCCGGUUGGGAUGACGGUACCCAAAGAAUAAGCACCGGCUAACUUCGUGCCAGCCGCCGCAGUAA